UUUCGAACUAAAAGAUCGAUCGACUGCCCCAAUUUGAGUCACACACUCGCACCUCUCCCUCUUCACGAUUCGUCUUCUUCCCGCCCUCUCCUCUCCCAGCCGAUUCUCUCUCUCUUAGUCAUCUCUCUCUUUCUCUCUCUCUCUCUCUCUCUCUCUCGCACUCUCUCUCUCUCUCUGUUUGAUUUAAGAAAGAGCAAAAAACUGAAACUCGAACUGAAAAGGAAGAUCGACAGGGUAAAUUUGAGAUAGACAACAAAGGUAGAAAGUGGGUAUUGUCCUCGAUUGGAAAAAAAUGGAAAGAUUACAAGUCAGAUUUGAAAGCCAUGUAUUAUGAUCUAGUUACCCCUGAUGAGGCAAUGCGGAAUUGCCCAAAUAAGGUUCCUAGCGAUCAAUGUCAGAUUCUUGUCGCUUUUUGGAACUCUGAUGAGGGCAAGAAUGGAGUGCUAUAGCCAGAGGAAAUCGGUCCCAGCAAAAAUACGCACACUUUGGGGGGACUAAGAGUAAUGCAAGAUUGCGUCAUGAGAUGAUGUAGGAAACCGGUGAUGGGGCACAACCAAGCAAGGGAGUUGUGUGGAUCAAAACAAAUCGAAGGAAAGAUGGGGCGCCUGUAGAUGCAGAAUCAGGAAGGGCAAUGGAACAAUUAGAGAACCUGGCAUCACAACAGGCCAUGACUUUUGGUGGGUCCUCAAUCCCUAAUGAUGAUGAUUUUGAUCAAAUAUUUGGAGCGGAGCGAUAGAGUACGUGCAAAUGUAUGGAUUGGGCGUUACUCUUUCCACUCUAAGCAUGAGUUGUAGAUAUAGAGCAUUAGAGUCUACAUCAACAAGAGGAGGUUGUGGGCAUGAGGAUAGCAAUGAACGAUUCAAGUAGAUAGAAGAUAACCUUGAAAAGGUGACUAGAGCAUGUAGUGAUGUACAACACCGGGUGGGAAGGAUAAUAUCCAUACUUCCUCAAAAUCUUCAAGACAUGCUAAACGAUGGUCGGGAUUUACCUUCAAGAAGUGCAGAGGUAAUACGUGUCUCAAAGUACAAUUUGUGAUAAUUUCUUUUGAUUUAUUUUUAGUAAUUUUUAUAAAUAU